rnacentral:misc_RNA from 1 species
UGCUUAUUUAUGGUGGCAGAGGUGAAAUGCCCUGAAUAUCCUUACAUGGCAAUUGGAAUUUGUUGCUGAAUUCUUUUUUAGGAGUCUUUGACACCUGUUUAUGGUGCCAAGAUCUACUUGAGGAUUGCAGUUGCCAAAUUACUUUGAAAUUACUAGUCACUUGUGCUUAUCAAAUAUUGAUAAACAUAAAUUGUUACAAAAAACAUAAUAUGAGAGAAUAAUUCAGCCCACAAAUUGUAUAAACAAACACAAUACAAGAUAUCUAACAUGAUGGUGUGGCAUCAUUAAUGGCAUUGUACAGCACUCCGCUUUAUGGUCAUUUUAAUUUCUCUUUUCACUGUUCAUAUGCCCUGUGUUGUGUCAUAUGUGUCUUUGUUUAGGAACAAAGAGAGAACCAUCACACAUUUCUGUGAUGAUAAGUAUUCUCAUUAGAUAACUUGAAUGUUCUUAGUUUUCAACAAAAUUGAUGAGAUUAAUUAUAUGGUUACAUCAUUUUGUAUCAACAUCACAUUGGUGUUCCCAUUUGCAUUUGUUUGAGCAACUUUUAACUAACAGAAUUAUAAUCUUAACUUUGACAGGUGGCGG